GACGAACGCUGGCGGCGUGCUUAACACAUGCAAGUCGAACGGGAUUUAGUAAACGGAAGCCUCGGCGGAAGAUUACUAAUGAGAGUGGCGCACGGGUGAGUAACGCGUGAGCAACCUGCCUAUGACAGUGGGAUAGCCUCGGGAAACCGGGAUUAAUACCGCAUAAAAUCGUAGAAACACAUGUUUCAACGGUCAAAGAUUAAUCGGUCAUAGAUGGGCUCGCGUCUGAUUAGCUAGUUGGUGAGAUAACAGCCCACCAAGGCGACGAUCAGUAGCCGGUGUGAGAGGAUGAACGGAGACAUUGGAGCUGAGACACAGUCCGAACUCCUACGGGAGGGAGGAGUGGGGAAUAUUGCACAAUGGGGUAAGCGCUGAUGCCGCGACGCCGCGUGAACGAAGAAGGUAGUCGUAUAGUGAAGUUCUGUACUAUGGGAAGAUAAUGACGGUACCAGAGAAGAAAGCACCGGCUAAAUACGUG
rnacentral:rRNA from 1 species